rnacentral:rRNA from 1 species
UACAGUGGCCACAAGCGUUAGUCGGAAUCACUGGGCGUAAAGGGUGCGUAGGUGGGCUUGCAAGCGUUUUGUGAAAGCCCGUAGCUCAACUACGGAACAGCAGAGCGAACUGCAAGUCUUGAGGCAGGUAAGGGCUGGAAGAACAGACGGUGGAGCGGUGAAAUGCGUAGAGAUCGUCUGGAAUGCCGAUGGGGAAGCCGUCCAGCUAGGCCUGUCCUGACACUGAGGCACGAAAGCGUGGGGAGCAAACAGG